GCAGUCGCCCUGCGCGCCUCCCCGCGAGGCUUGUUUUCUAGCGCCUCUGGUGGGCCGCCUCCCGCAGGCCUGGUGUGAGCCUGGGGUCCGUUCUCACAGCUGGAUCUGGGGUCUGAAUGCCGCGCCCUCUGGAGAGCCACAGAUGGGUCUCCGCUGAUGCUUCUCUCAAUUUCCUCUAAGAGCGAGAGCUCCGGGAAAGGAGCCGAUCCUGGUGGAAGACUACAGGUCUGAGUCCACUGGACGAAAAACGAGGCUCCUUGGAUUAGAGACCAUCCUGAGGACAUCCUUGGGAGCCAUGUGCUGAAGAUGGCCAAGCCACAGGAUGAAAGGAGCUGCAUCUUUGAGUCACCACUGGAGAAAGGUCUCUCUAAAUGGAUUUGCAGAGACGUCUUCUCGAAUACUCCCCUUCUAAGUUCCACUUGUAAUCCACUUCUUCUAUUCUCCCAGCAAUCAAUGUGGUUUGGGGAAAUUCCAGAAUCUCAUAAUACCUUGGUCAUGGGUAAAUAAGGAAAGGACCUUUACAUACAUGUGAUGCAAAGCAGAUCAAAACAAGCAGAGCAGCCUAAGAGCAGCAAGACCCCAAAGGAUAAGGGAAGUCCUGCAGAAGAGCAGAGCGGUGCUGCAAAGGCAGGCAGGCCUUGACGGAAUCCUGUCUCUCCAUAAUGUUGCUUUUCGAGGAGACUGAUUGAUUGAGAUGGCGUCUCACUUUGUCGCCCAGGCUGGAAUGCAGUGGCGUGAUCUCGGCUCACCAACCUCCACCUCCAAGGCUCGAGUGAUUCUCCCACUUAAGUCUCUUGAGUAGCUGGGACUACAGGUGCAUGCCACCACGCCUGACAAAUUUUUUUAUUUUUUGUAGAGAUGAGGUUUCGCCAUGUUGACCAGGCUGGUCUCAAACUCCUGGACUCAAGUGAUCUGCCCACCUCGGCCUCCCAAAGUACUGGGAUUACAGGCAUGAGCCAAUGUGCCCGUCCUGAGGAGUUUUCUUCUGGAAUUCCUGCUGGGUUUUUGUAGUCAGUCCUCUCCCCAUUUCCCACAUUGGCUCUUGCAGACCUUCCUUUUCCCCAUUUCUAUUUGCUACCAUGUCAGACAUGACUUUUGCCAUAGGAUCUCUAUUCUACUAUAGAGGAAACCAAAGCCAUCAGUAGAAAUUUCACUAACAUGGAAUCAGAUUUAUAGAAGAAAGGGGGAGGAAAGUUUUGCCUUAACACCUGGAAGGGUUUCGUUUCUUUUAGUAGCUGGGAGACAGAAACAUAAGAAAGUAGCUUAGUAAGCUUUCUGCUGUUCAACUGAUGAUGUGUGAGCUGUCAGUAGUUCAAACUAGUCAUUAUCUUUAUGAAUUAAUUAUGUAAUAACUUAAACAAUGUCAUAAACCUUCAAAUCAG
ensembl:lncRNA LINC02980 long intergenic non-protein coding RNA 2980